rnacentral:lncRNA from 1 species
AAAAAGAUUGUAAGGUUGUGGUGAGUAUGGUUGAGGAAAGAAUAGAAAAAGAAAGUGUUGAGUUAGAAAAAAAAGAGGAAAAAAAAGAAAUAUGUGAGGGAGAGAUUGGAGAACAAAAAGAGAAGAGGGGAGAGAAAAAAAAAUAGAAAAAGAUGAGAAAAUUGAGAAAGAUGAGAGAGUUCUUCCUUACCCAAAGGGGC